GACGAACCGUCCAAACGUUGUUCGGAAUCACUGGGCUUAAAGGGCGCGUAGGCGGGUGACCAAGUCCGGGGUGAAAUCUUUCGGCUCAACCGGAAAACUGCCUUGGAUACUGGUCAUCUCGAGGGAGGUAGGGGUCUGUGGAACUGAUGGUGGAGCGGUGAAAUGCGUAGAGAUGUGGAGGAACACCGAUGGCGAAGGCAGCCCCCUGGGUCGACACUGACGCUCAUGCACGAAAGCGUGGGGAGCAAACAGG
rnacentral:rRNA from 1 species